UUUUUUUUUUUUUUUUUUUUCGGGACUUAAAAACGGUGACCCCGGACAUGCCGAAUUUGCGCCAUUCUGGAAAGGACCCCGAAAAUAAUUUUUAACCAUUUUCACAAAAAAGUUUUUUUUUUUUUUUUUUUUUCGGGACUUAAAAACUGUGACCCCGGACAUGCCGAAUUUGCGCCAUUCUGGAAAGGACCCCGAAAAUAAUUUUUAACCAUUUUCACAAAAAAUUUUUUUUUUUUUUUUUUUUUUUUCGGGACUUAAAAACUGUGACCCCGGA